rnacentral:misc_RNA from 1 species
GAAAUGCGAUAAUUAAUGUGAAUUGCAGAAUUCAGUGAAUCAUCGAGUCUUUGAACGCAUAUUGCGCCCCCUGGUAUUCCGGGGGCAUGCCUGUCCGAGCGUCAUUGCUGCCCUCAAGCACGGCUUGUGUGUUGGGCUUCCGUCCCUGGCAACGGGGACGGGCCCAAAAGGCAGUGGCGGCACCAUGUCUGGUCCUCGAGCGUAUGGGGCUUUGUCACCCGCUCCCGUAGGUCCAGCUGGCAGCUAGCCUCGCAACCAAUCUUUUUAACCAGGUUGACCUCGGAUCAGGUAGGGAUACCCGCUGAACUUAAGC